rnacentral:tRNA from 1 species
AAAGCCUCUCACUUACACUGAGAAAAUGUCUGUUAAACCCGGAUCAUUUUGAG